rnacentral:rRNA from 1 species
UACGGAGGGAGCUAGCGUUAUUCGGAAUUACUGGGCGUAAAGCGCACGUAGGCGGCUUUGUAAGUUAGAGGUGAAAGCCUGGAGCUCAACUCCAGAAUUGCCUUUAAGACUGCAUCGCUUGAAUCCAGGAGAGGUGAGUGGAAUUCCGAGUGUAGAGGUGAAAUUCGUAGAUAUUCGGAAGAACACCAGUGGCGAAAGCGGCUCACUGGACUGGUAUUGACGCUGAGGUGCGAAAGCGUGGGGAGCAAACAGG